AGUAUCCAGAAAAUUCAUCAAGUGAUCUCCACAAAAAGCGUUUGGAUGUGAUACGUACCUUGAUGGAGACCUCACAAACCGAAACAAGUACAAAUAGUAGUGCUAAGGAAACUGUCAGACCAGUGGCGGGUGACUCAAAUCACAUGAUCAGACCUCCAAGUUCAGACAACAUGGUUUCACAGUCUAAUGCUUCUCAAAUGUUGCAUGAGAUGACAAGGUUUUGAUGGUCCCUGGAGUUCUUGGUGUAUCUCCCGUGUUACCUGUACAGACCUUGAUGAUCAAGAAAUGGGAGGCAUAGGUUAUAUAGGUGUAGCAUAAUGGAAG
rnacentral:misc_RNA from 1 species